GAUGAACGCUGGCGGCGUGCCUAAUACAUGCAAAUCGAACGAAGCCCUUUGGCUUAGUGGUGAACGGGUGAGUAACACGUAUCCAAUCUACCCUUAAGUUUGGGAUAACUAGUCGAAAGACUAGCUAAUACCGGAUAAUAACAUUCACUUGCAUGAGUGAAUGUGGAAAGUUGCGUUUGCAACGCUUUUGGAUGAGGGUGCGACGUAUCAGAUAGUUGGUGAGGUAACGGCCCACCAAGUCAUUGACGCGUAGCUGUACUGAGAGGUUGAACGGCCACAUUGGAACUGAGAUACGGUCCAG
rnacentral:rRNA from 1 species